rnacentral:lncRNA from 1 species
AUGGUGCAUGAAGCUGCCGCAGGCGUUUGCUCAGCAGACACGUUUCCUCCUCGUCUGGGGAUGAAGGCCGCUCAGCUGGCAUCUUCUAACCCACCCUGGAGGUAUUUGGGACGUGCUGAUAUCCUGCAGAAUAACCUAGAGGUUACGGGUUAUAACCCUAGGGGGUUUUGUCUCACCUGCAUUUCCUGCCUCCUGGUUCACACGAGGCUAUUUCACCCCCCCCGCCUACUUUCCACCUCAAGUCCAAACCUUCCAUCUGCAUCACAGUUUCACCUCUUUGAUGUAAUGUGGGGGUGGAGAUUGAGACUGAGAGCGGUGACUAAGCACGGGGAGCCUGGGUGCUGUGCAGCCGAAUACAGCUGGCCCUCCUGCAUCGCGGUGUGUGCGUCUCGCUUUGGUUUAGGGGGGGCUGUGAGGGCGUGCAGACCGAAGCCCCUCGCCACAGCUGGUGGAGAGGGCUCUGGAGAGGCCGCUCCGUCAGCUGAGACGCUCGCAGCUUCUGCCUGUUCCCGGUUAAGGCUUCGGGACCUUCUCCCGAAGCAAGUCUCCUCCUCGCCAGAGCCGAUCCCUGGCGGGGGGGGGGGGGGUGAAAGCCCCUUCACCAUUUUGCUUUUGAACUUAGGCUCCAGCCCCUUGGGGGGCUGCAGGGCAUCCCCAUUCAGCAAAAAAAAAAGGAAAAGCUGGGGGCUUUUGUUUGGCCGAGCAGCCCCGGCAGGUGAUGUUUCAGCAGCUGCACAGCCUUCGCGGGUCCUGCUAGCAAAGCCUUUAUUUAUUUUUUUUUCCCCUAACAGCCUCUUGCCGCAGCCGGGAGCGUGCUUGGAUGGCGCGGGAACUUCCCUGCCUGCCGUGCCCGGGGAAGCAGGAGGACGGGGAAGCAGGAGGACGGAGGCCGGGCGCGGGCUGGGGGCAGCUGGGGAGGAUUCAGCGCCUUCAAGGCACGGCCCCGUCCUACGGCAGCUGCUGCGCUGGGGGGGUCCCGGUUCACCCCCGGACCUGGCUGGUUGCUGGUGGUGA